GACAGAGGGGGCAAGCGUUGCUCGGAAUUACUGGGCGUAAAGCGUGCGUAGGCGGUUCGUUAAGUCCGUUGUGAAAGCCCUGGGCUCAACCUGGGAAUGGCAGUGGAUACUGGCGAGCUAGAGUGUGAUAGAGGAUGGUGGAAUUCCCGGUGUAGCGGUGAAAUGCGUAGAGAUCGGGAGGAACACCAGUGGCGAAGGCGGCCAUCUGGAUCAACACUGACGCUGAGGCACGAAAGCGUGGGGAGCAAACAGG
rnacentral:rRNA from 1 species